CCAAAGACCUUAUAAUAUAUUACUAGACCGAAAGCUGCGUGCGCGUUCAGCACAAAACAAAUGAGAUUAGGCUCCGCCUACCGCGAUCAUUUGAAGACAAAAAUAAGCCCUCAUUGACAUUCAUGAGCAUGAAGAUAUUCAUAAUCCGGCCUUUUCAUUGGCUAAGAGCGUCAUUAAUACGCGAUUUCCCCGAUUCUUUGUCAUCGAUACUAGUGGUAUCGUGUUACAGAAUUAAUUAUUCAUUUGACCUCAUUACGUCAUCUAAUUUAUUCAUUCUGAAACUUUUCUUUCCACACACAAAAUGGACCUACGAACACUCCGGUGAGUACGUAUUAAUUGAUAUAACCACAUGAAUUCAGUGGACUAUUUACACAUUUCACACUGUAUUUUGUGAUCUUAGGUUAUUUGUUUAUCAAAUUAGAGAGUUUGCUAUUAAUCUUCUGUUAAAGGAAAGCAGAAUUUGGUCUUUGAAAUUGAAGUUGGAUUGUCAUCGUCGCCCGGCCCCAGUGCAGCCUGUAAUUAAGGCUGUAUGUUGCUUGCAGUGUUGUGGUUAUGCCGUUAUGCCGCUGUGUUAACCACAUGUAUUUUGUACGGGCUCCUAGCCGGCUGGGAAUCGAGAGAUAAUCGGGCUGGUUUGGUUCACCUCCAACAAUAAGGACCAACCCACGAUUGAUUAAAACAAGAAGAAUGAGGCUUCUCUUUGUACACUGUAACGUUAGAUCUAGAGGGAGAUCUGCAUCUAUCUUCAGUAGAUCGAGACUCAGUCAGGAAUAAACUGUGAAGCGGAGUAUGGAUGAAGAUACGCCUGUCAUUGUGUCAAUCCUCACUUUGUUUCAGAUAUCAAAUUUAUUUUGCAUAACUUCAGGCUUCUGAAUUUAGCCCCCACCCAUUUUAACUCUUAUUGUUAUUUAUAAAUAUAGUUAGACUCGGUCUUAGAAAUAACAUGCUGCUCUGCAUGUUUGUCUUAUUAUCAAUAGAUCUAGGCCUAGGGCCUAGAUCUUCUUAAUCCUAGGCCCUACUUACUUUAUACUCAGAUCUAGGCUACUUUACUUUUAUUUAUUCAUCGAUGCUAUCAAGACAAGAGCUAGGCCUACCUAAUUCAAAUCUAGUCUAACUUAUACUUUCCCAACCCUCGACACUUACCCCCAGGGCUUAUGAUCUAGGUCUGUAAUUUAGGCCUAGAUCUAGGUCUGGGCCUAAACGACUCCAUUUACAUGUACGACUACGAGUAUGACUGUCAGUGGACCAAGGACUAGAUCUAGAUCUAUAAUGGCAAUGAAGUCUUAGCCAGGAAUAAAAGUCAGAGUCAGACAUCAAAAAUUUCUAAACCGAUAUAGGGUCUAGAUCUCGGUUUAGAACCGAAGCUUUACUUUCUAGGUCUAGAUAGAUCAAGAGUCCAUCGUUAGUCUAGAUCUAGACCUAAUUUAGAUAGGCAUACAUGAAUGCUGUCGCACAGCACUGAGUCUUGUUGGACUAGAUCUAGACUAAAUAGAUCUAGACCUAGUGCAUGAGAUUAUGAAAUUAUGUUAAAAUCAAAUGAAAUAAGAUUCGGAAAUACAAAGAUCCAGAUUUUUUUUUUUUUUUUUUUUUGGGGGGGGGCAGACAUGUGAAAAAAUUUAGAGAAACCUAAAAUUCAGAAAGCGAGGGCCCGAAGCGACCAAUAUUACCUCGGGCCGUUUUGUGCAUUUUCUAAAGUAAAAUUGAAGGAUGUCAUGCAAUUCUCUUUUUGAUGAAGGUUUCACAUUUCAGCUCUUACCCAAACCCCUCCCCCUAUACAUACGGCCAUGAAAAAGAUCACUUCUUAUUAUUGUUCUCUUUUCUUUCACAAACAGGUUGAGUUUGAAGAACAAGAAAAACAGUAGAGGUCUACCUAUAUGGUUCAAGAUGAUGAUCAUAAGUGCAUGCAUCAUUUUGCCGAUUCUCAUCCAGGAUGAUGCAGUUUUACAAUUUCCAUGGAGGUGAUUGAUGAUGAUAAAUAAUUGGUGAAGUAGGCCUAAUAGAACAGCGACUAGACCACAAAGAGAAAUACAACCUACAGCAGUUAUAUGAGACUGGUGUAACAGAUGUUUUCAUUCAAGAAAUCCAACAAUUCAAGAGUCUGACUUAGGAACCACUUGAUGAAGAUGGAAAAGUAUUUUUUUUCGAAGUCCAAUUUUUCAACAACAAACAAAUUAUUAUCACAACCCCAAAUUCAUGACGUAUGAAAUUUCUUGUUGAUUUUCAUUAAAACUGGUUGCAAAAGGAGAAGCUAUAAACAUACAAACAGGAGCGGCGGAGUGAAGUUGAAAGUGGGGGGGCAUAGGGAAAAUGCUGUAUUACGUGAAAUUUUUAAGAAGUUGCGAGCGAGCAAAGUUUUGACAUUUUUAAAAAGAAAAUCUAAAAUAUUCAGAAUGAUAUAUUUCACCCUUUUCUCUUUUUUUUUUGGGAGGGGGGACAAGAGUCCUCCAAGCCCCCCCCCCCCCCCCACCUCCAUCUGUACGAAACUGCUUAUAUUCUCCCACUCAUGAAUUAUUAAACUUAAUGCACAAAGGAUUUCCUUCAUAAGUAUAUUAUCGAAAUGAGAAUAUUGUUUUCUUGUUUCAAAGGGCAAUCGUCAUGGUGGCCAUAAAACAGGUCCUUCUCAAGUGAAAGGGGCACAGAACAAGUUCUUUAGGAGCACUUUUCUUGGGUAAAAGGGGGCAGUGAUUCGAGAAAGGGCACUUACAAGAAGGCGAGGGGGCACUCUUUAACACAUGAAACGGGCCCUCAGAUGAAAGGGCACAGAACACGUUCCAGGGGAGGGGGGGCAUUUUGGGGUUAAAAAAUUGCAUACAAGGAAGAGCACUUGGUAACACCUAAAACAGGUUCUCGCAGGUGAAAGGGACACAGUACACGUUCGUGAGGGGGCAUUAUUCUUGCAUAAAAAGGCACUUUUCAGUGCUUAAAGAAGUAGGGGGAACUGUGCCCCCCCCCCCCCCUCCCCAGGAUCGCUGCCCCAGCAUACAAAAAAAAUAUUCUUUUGGUUUAAAGUAUUAACAUACGGUUAAGAAAAAGGUAAAGCUUAAUCCUCUGAUAAUGUGAUAUUUUUUAUGGCUAAUUAAUAAAAUUCACCACUAACCAGAGAAUUCCUUUAUGUCUUUCAUUUGUGUUCAUAUAGUAUUUGUACAGAGCUAAAAUGAAAGGGAUUUGGAAUUUGCAAAAUUCAAAAUGAGAUGAAGAUCGAGAGAGGGAAAGAGUGAUGAGAAGUGGAUUGAAAAGAGAUGAGAAAGAAAUGGAGGGGCACAUAUGAAGAGAUAAUUUAGAGGGGGGUGGUAAGAGAGCUAGAAUGUGGGAAGUAGGAACAAAAGGGGUGGAAGAGAAAUAAGACGAGAUUUAUGGAAACCAGGAGACAGAUAACAAGUGGGAAAAGAAAAAGGAAAUAUAUGAAGAGUUUAGUUGCAAAAGGGGUUAGGGCCACUUUGGACCAUUCCGAGAAAAAACAUGUUUUUAUUUUCACUUAUUGCAAUAUUCUUAUGAGAAACUAAAUUGUCAUGAUGUACUACUCUAUCAUGUGAACAUAAAAUUGGGUAUAAAAGAAAUUUACCCGUCUUCAAUUUUUUUCUAUAUACUUUUUAAAAAAAAUCACUGUGUACCUAACCCCUUUUGCAAGUAAAUUGAAGUGAAUCCAAUCUCUUUUGAUUAAAAAAGUGAUUUUUUUUUUGCCACUUCCAUUCACGUUUUCAUUUGAAUUUCAAAUUUUCUUUGGUAUCAUCAGAGUGACUGAAAAUUUAGAGGUUUAGAGACA